CAGCUGGUUUAGAGCGCACGCCUGAUAAGCGUGAGGUCGAUGGUUCAAGUCCAUUUAGGCCCAUUGGAACCGAACCAGUUGGUUCCAUAAGUUGAAUACCUCAUGGGGAAUUAGCUCAGCUGGGAGAGCACCUGCUUUGCAAGCAGGGGGUCAGCGGUUCGAUCCCGCUAUUCUCCAUUGACGACGUUAGUCGUCAUUGAAACUUGUUCUUUGAAAACUAGAUAAUAUCAAAUAUAUUUUUUCAUAAUGAAACCGAGAACACCGCGUUUUUUGAGUUUUUUAUUGAAGUUUAAUUAUCGCUAAACUCAUUAAUCGCAUUUACCGUUAGGUAAAUGAGG
rnacentral:tRNA from 1 species